AAGAAAUAUAAAACCAAAAACAGAUGUUGAUAAUUUGGAAUUACUACCUUUCUUUAUAUUUUGACAUUUAAUAAAUGUUAAUACAAUUUUACUGACCAAUACCCCUUUUGUAAGAGCAAAUACAGGAAAAGAAGCGAACAAAUACAGUUAACUUGUGAUACUGAUUUUGAGGCCUGCAAGAUUGAUUCAACAUCAACUGCUUGGACAUGUUUCUGGACUACGUGAAAUAUCAGGGAAUUAUUUACACAUUACAAUUCUGGAAAAAUAAUUUUUAAAAUCUGCUUUGGAAGUGUUUAGUACUUAAACAUUUGAAUGAAUAUUUGAAUAACAAUGAUCUACUGCCUAAUAUUUACAUGAUGUUAGUACACACAAAUGGGUGUUCUAAGUGAGCUACUUGGGUACAAUUUCUUAAGCAUAUCUGAAUGCAAAAGGAAGAAUAAAGUUAUUAUAAGAAUAAUUCUUGGAAGUGGUGCUGGGUGGGCCGGUGGGCUGGGCUGCAGCCCGCGAAUGCAAAGAGGAGGGCCACGGGAUGGGGGCUGUUGCUGUGCUGUCUGCCAUCGACUCUUCCGCCAAGAGCCUGGACUCCAAAUGUGACUUAUGUUCCAGCAGAACUCCAGGUGUUUAAAAGAACCCCUACAUCCUGCUUAUUUCUUUGGUGAAGCACUUGAGCCAUGUGCAUGAACCAAACCCAGUUCAUUUAAGACAGGUGUUUAAGUUACUUUGCCAGAUCUUUAUCCUAAUGGGUCUGCUGUGUUCUUUCACUUGUGACGAGUUUAGCUCAUUGAGACUACAUCACCACAGAGCUAUUACUCACUUAAUGAAGUCCACUAAAGAGAGAGUUCAUCAGGAUCCUUGUGAGGCUAUUUCUCAUAUCCAGAAAAAUCAGAUCAAGGGAAGUAGCCUUUGAAGCACAAACUUCAUGUUACUUAAAUGAAUUUGAAAAACUUGCCAUCUUAGGAAAAGGUGGAUAUGGAAGAGUAUACAAGGUCAGGAAUAAAUUAGAUGGUCAGUAUUAUGCAAUUUAAAAAAUCCUGAUUAAGGGUGCAACUAAGAUUGCAUGAAGGAACUAUGAGGAAUGAAGGUGCUGGCAGUCCAGCACCCUAAUAUCAUUGGUUAUCACACUGCGUGGACAGAACAUGUUCAAGUGAUCCAACCACAAGCAGAUAGAGCUUCCAUUCAGUUGCCAUUUCUGGAAGUGUUCUCCGACCAAGCAGAGGACAGAUACCAAUAUGGUGUUAAAAAUGGUGAAAGUAGCAGGUCAUCCAUUAUCUUCACUAAGCUCACCUCAGAAAAGAAAAACCCUUUGGAGAAUCUGACACUCAAAAUCAGAAUAACAAGCUGGUGAACUAUACCAUCAAUUCCAUCUUAAGAGACACCAGUGAAUUUGAAUCAUCCCUGGAGCUCCCGGAAAAUGGCUUGGUGGGUUUGUCCACCAGGUCAGUUGUGGAACAGCCCCUGCUGCUCAGCUGUAAUUCCCUCCAAGAGGAGAAUUUCACAUCCACUGAGGAAUCUUCCAAAGAAAACUUCAACUUGUUGGGGAUAGAGGUGCAGUACCACCUGAUGCUGCACAUCCAGAUGCAGGUGUGCAACUCCACCUGUGGGACUGGCUAGCCGAGAGAAACAAACAGGGCCAAGAGUGUGUGGAUAAGUUUGCUUGUCCUUAUGGCCAGUGUUGCAACAAAAAAUUUUCAAGAAUUAGUGGAAGGUGUGUUUUACAUACAUAACAUGGGAAUUGUAAACAGAGAUCUGAAGCCUAGAAAUAUUUUUCUUCAUGGCUCUGAUCAGCAAGUAAAAAUAGGAGACUUUGGUCUGGCUUGCCCAGACAUCUUACAAAAGAACACAGACUGGACCAAUAGAAACGGAAAGAGAACACCAACACAUAUAUCCAGAGUGGGCACUUUUCUGUAUGCUUCAUCCCAACAGUUGGAAGGAUCUGAGUAUGAUGCCAAGGGUCUCAUUCUUGCCCAGGCUGGAGUGCAGUGGGGUCAUCAUAGCUCACAGCAGCCUCCAACUCCUGGGGUCAAGUGAUCCUCCCACCUCAGCCUCCCAAGUAGUUGGGACUACAGCAGUGUGCCACUGUACCCGGCUAAUUAAAAAAAAACUAUUUGUAGAGACCAGGGCUGGCUUUGUCCAGUUAGAUAUGUAUAUAGCUUGAGUGUGAUUCUGCUAGAGCUCUUUCAGCUGUUUAGAACAGAAAUGGAGCAAGCAGAAGUUUUAACAGGUUCAAGAACUGGUCAGAUACUGGAAUCCCUCAGUAAAAGGUAUCCACUAUAAGCCAAGUAUAUCUAGCACUUAAUGAAAAGGAACAUGUCCCAGAGACCAUCUGCUCUUCAACUGCUACAGAGUGAACUUUUCCAAAAUUCUGGAAAUACUAAUCUCACCCUACAGAUGAAGAUAAUAGAGCAAGAAAAAGAAAUUGAAGAACUAAAGAAGCAGCUAAACCUCCUUUCUCAAGACAAAGGGUUAAGGAUGACAUGAAGGAUGGGGGCGUACGGGUCUAGCCUUCCUCAAGCUAUACCAGUGGGAUGAAAGUGGAUUUAAACUCUUAAGGUAGUUAACUGGAAUGUAAAUUUUUACUCUUUAUUAGAGUAUGGUUGGUAUAAUUCAUUGUAUUUAGUAAGCCUGUACAAGACUUUUUUUUUUUUUGAGACAGAGUCUUGCUCUGUCGCCCAGGCUGAAGUGCAGUGGCCGGACCUC